UCUUCCGAUCUGUCGGAACCAACAAGAUAGAAUGACGAGCCAACAUGGAGAACCUCAACUCAUAUUGCAACACGGUCAUCUCCCACUAACACAACAAUUCAAACUGCCUACACAACUCCUCUAUACAAGACUGUGGUACAUACUUCUCUAUAAAGAGAAUUGAGAACUGCUUCCAGGAAAGGGGUGCUGCACAAACAAGCCUACGCCUCUCAAAAUCCUCCAACCAAGCAAAAAAAACUCCUGAAAACUGAUAGGUGGUAAAAAGUGACCCCGCUGGUCUCCAGAAUACCUACAGUAUGAAGCAUCCCAGACACUUAUCCAAAAAUCCUAGGCAUCCUCUGCCCUCUAUGCCAUUGAAGGUCGGAAGCUGCAAUCUACCAAACUCUCCAAACUACGGUACUCAUCCUCCAGCUUGAAAGGAACUACAUAGUCCUGAGCAGCUGUAACCGGUUGGGCUAGAUGCGCCCCCAGCAUCUGAAGUCCCUGCACGACCUGCUCAUGUGUACGAGUGGCGGUGGUCAGAUUGCCUCUCCCGGCCUGAGAAGUAGUUGUGGCUGAAAUCGCCUGAGCCAGGCUAGUGCAAACUGAUAAGAUCUGUGCCAAGUCCUCCUGAAGACCCGGAGUCACAAUAGGCACAACUGGUGCAUGAGCUGGUGUUGCUGGAGCGUCCAUGGCUAGGACCUAGUCCUAAACUGGGGUAGCCAAUGAAUCUACAGGUGCUACCCUUGCUACUCUGCCUCUACCACAACCACGACCACGACCACGACCGAGUCCUCGGCCUCUGGUGGCCACAUCUAGUGGCACUGGUGAUCAUCCACCCUAUUCAGUAGCACGUGUCCUUGCCAUUUGUGAGAGAGUAGAAUAACAUAAGUUUAGUACCCAGAUCAACAAGUUUGAAUAACAAGAAUUUCAAGAGUUUGAUGUUUUUCCUAAUGGUUCUGCAGCCUGUCGAGGAUAAAUACAGACAUCUCCUUAUCAAUCUGCAAGACUCUACUAGACCUGCUCAUGACUUGUGAGACCUAUGUAACCUAGGCUCUGAUACCAACUUGUGACGGCACUAAACCCGGACCCGAUUGUAAUGGUGCCUCUCGUAAAGGCGAGGCCAACCAACACCUCCCAUUUUCCAUUUAUGAACAGGUAAGCAUUAAGAAUAGCAUAAAAUUGAUAAAAUAACUCCAAAAUAACAUAUAAUAACAUAAAUACGAGGAAAACACCCAUGCACAAUCCUAAUCGGGAUGUCACUUGUCAUGAGCAUCUAUAAGUCAUGAUACAAUUUUGCUAAAUCCAUAAACUAGUACAAAUGUCUGAAAGGAAAUAGAAGCGAUAAAGGAGUAGAGACACGGGACUGCGGAUGUCAAUGCUACCUCGUGAAUUCCAAACGUCCGCCUGAAGUUAGAGGGAUCAGCACUCGGGAGCAGAACCAACUACGCCUGAAUCUGCACCCAGGUUGCAGGGAGUAAAGUGAGUACUCCAACUCAGUGAGUAUAAAUGUAAAUAAUGACUGAAAGUGAAAAAAACACGUAAGGCACAAGGUAUUUUAUAAUGAAAUAGUAAACCCGUUCAAAAUAGUAAACUAGUGUAAAGUUAAGUGAAAUCCUUUUUCAUCAAGUAAUAAAGUAGUUGACAGGUAGUUAAGCAGAGUACACAUAUAGAAAUUCACCCCUCGAGCAGAGUAGCAACAAAUCCUCCCCUCGGGGAACAUCUCAGAACAAUACCAUCCCCUCGAUCUCAAUCUCACAUCACAAUGGGUACCCGCGCUGACUAGGGUGUGCAGAUACCUAGAGGGGCCCCUUACGGCCCAAGCGCAAUAACAAGCCAUCUCAUGUAAUCAAAACUAGGCCCUCGGCCUCAUAUUAAUCAAACAACCUCGUGGUGUACAUAUCUCAGGACCACGGCCUCAAAUCAGUAUAAGUGUGUUCCUCACAACAUAGGCCAUCGGCCUUACUCAUUAAAAAAUCCUCACAAGCCCCUCGGGUAAUAGUAAUACAGUGUUUCUCAUCCCAAACAUAAUUUAGAAUUUCAAUGAAGUUUUAAAACUGAGUAAACAUGACUGAUAAUGAAAACAAUGAGAAAGAACAUGACUAACUUCAGGUUUAUAUAAUCAAAACAAUGAUGAAAUACCAAUAAAAAGCUCGAAAGGGUACAAAUAGUUGGCACUAGGACCAAAUAUGGCGUUCCACCCAACUAAUAAUAAUAAAUAGAUUUAAAUCAAACACGCGAUAAAAUCAUCAAUCAAAACGGACCAAAUCAAAAUCCCCAAUAGUGCACGACCCCACACUCGUCAUCAAGCGUGCCUCACCUCAACAUAUCACUACGAUAUGCAAUCCGGAGUUUCAAAUAAUCAGAACAUCCUUUACCAUCAUUACUCACCUCAAACCGGUCAAAUCUCUAACUCGCAAUGCCUUUGCCCCUCGAAUCCGCCUCCACUCAUGUCAAAUCUAUCCAAAAUCAGAACGAGGACAUUAAAACAUAAUAAGGGAAUGACACCCAAUCAAAAAUGACACAACUCCCAAAAUUACCAAAGCUCGACACUGGGGCCCACGUCUCAGUAUUUAAUAAUUUUUACAUCAAUAGAUUUCUGAUCUCCCCACGAGUCUAUACAUAUCAAGAACACUGAAACCGGAUUCCAAAUGACCCCUCAAAUUCCCAUUUAAAGGCCUCUUAAACUCAAGCCCUGAUCCCCAAUUUUCUUCCUUAAUUUCAACUAAUACCAUGAUUAAACAAUGAAAAAUGAUAUUAAACCCAACUAAUUAAUCUUGGGAAACUUACCUGGAUGAUAUCCUUAGUUUCCUCUUGAAAUCCUAUGCCUUAGCCUCUUUUCCCGUCUUCAGAGUGAUGAACUUAACAAAAUUUCGCGAAGAAGACAAUAUAUUCCUUUUGGCCAUGGAUUUCCGCAUCUGCGACCAUUCCACCGCUUCUGCAGCACGACAUAUGCGGUUACUCCUCUGCUUCUGCGGAAAUCACAUAAGUUCCGAGCCAUCCACAAUCUGUGAUUUCGAAGAUGCGGUUCUCCUAGCCUCUUCUGCGGUCUCAGUCAAACAUACCUCAGGCCGCUUUUGCGGCCCCUCUCUUGCAUAUGCUGCACCGCAUCUACGGUCCCCAACCCGCAAGUACAAAAAUACCAGAAGAAGCAAUUCAGCAGCUGCAACAACAAUCCAAACUUCCCGUCAACCAUCCAAAAUCACCCUGAGGCCCUCGGGACCUCAACCAAAAUCACAACAUACCCUAAUACCUUAUUCAAACUUGUUUUAAUCAUCAAAACACCCCAAACAACAUCAAAUCACCCAAAACACAAUAGAUUCAAGCCAAACUUUCUGAAAUCUUUGGAAUUCCAUUUUUGAUAAAAAAUCCAACCAAACCAUGUCCAAAUGACCUGAAAUUUUACUCACACAUCCCAAAUGACCCAGCGAAACUACUUCAACACUUAAAAUUCCGUUUCGAUCCAUAUAUAAAAUCUCUCCUACCCAUCGAAAAUUCCCGAAAUAUCAACUUCAUCAAUUCAAGCCUAAAUCCACUCUGAACCUCUAAACCCUAUUCUGAUCACACUCCUAAGUCAGAAAUCACUUACCGAAGCUAUCCAAACCAUCGAAAUUCACAUCUCAACCCUCUAACACAUAAAUUAACAUCUGGUUGAUUUUUUCAACUCAGACUUCCUCAAAAGAGUCUAAGUGUCUCAAACCUUACUAAAUUUAUUUCGGAUACGAUUCGACCAAUCCUGAUACCAUAAAACACGGAUACCAAGGCUUAAAAAAGUGGAAAUAGGGAAAAUGGAAUGGCAACUCAUGGGAUGACUGUCCUGGUCAUCACAAAAAUAGAAUGAACCGUGAUCUCUUUGGAAUAGUAAAUGCUUCAUUGGGAAGUUAAAUGGUUGGUAUGUCCGUAUUGUGAUAGUAAAUAGGGAGUUAUGGAUUGAACGGUGCUAUACAGUGGAUAUUGAAAGGUGGUAACCCUGAUAUAUAUGCAUCAGUAGCUUCAACUACAUCAUCAUCCACAUCCACCAUUUUUUUGUUAGAAGUCUUACAUUGAUAAUUUGUUAGAAGUAUUACGCUGAGAAUUUAUUAUAAGUCUUACAUGAACAGGAACGAAAACAUGCUAUUGUAUUUAUUAAAUAAAUUUUACACUGAUUUUACAUUAAUGCCAAUUCCGAAAAAAUUAGAUAGUGUAUUUAUCAAAACAAUAUUGGCAUCUGAAACCAUUAAAUACAAUGCAACUAACACUAAUACAACUUGAAAAUCGAAAAAAGCAAUUAAAUACAAUAUUUCCAAAAUGCAUACACAACGAUUCAGAAAAAGAAGAGCAACAGUUAAUGCGUCCUUUUCUACUGGUAAGAAGAAGAGUCACAAGUAAAUUAAUGCGUACACAUCAACUAGGAAGAAGAAGAGUUGCAGGUAAAACAAUUUGGAGAUCAUCACCGGAUGAAAUACACUAUGUGCGAACUAAUUCAAAACUUAUAAAUAACUACGGUAGGUUAGAAGGUAGGGAUUUGUGACAACCCGUCCAGUCGUCUCAUGAGUUACCAUAUCUAUUAUUCCAAUUUUUGCUUCUUUACGCUUUGUUAUAUGUGUUUUGUGGUAUCGAAUUGGUCGGAUGUCCGGAAUUAUUUUCGUAAGGUAUGAGACACUUAGUCUCUUUUAAGGAAGUUUAAGUUGGAAAAGUCAACCGAAUAUUGACCUAUGUGUUGGAGGGCGCGGAUGUGAAUUUUGAUGGUUCGGUUAGGUCUGAGAGGUGAUUUAAGGUUAUGAGUGUGAUCAAAAAGGGUUUUGGAGGUCUGGAGUAGCUUUGGGCUUGAAGUGGCGAAGUUGAUAUUUUUGCAAUUUUUGGUUGGCAGGCGAGAUUUUUAUGUAAAGGGUCGAAAUGGGAUUUCGAGAGUUACAGUAGAUUCGUUGUGUCAUUUGGGAUAUGUGUGAAAAUUUUCAGGUCAUUCAAACGUGGUUCAAUUAGAAAGUUUGGAUUGAAUCUGAUGUGUUUUUGGUGAUUCAAUAUUGUUUGAGGUGUUUUGGUGACUGGAAAAAGUUUGAAUAUGAUAUUGGGUUAUGUUUGGGCUUUUGGUUGAGGUCCCGGGGGCCUCGGGGUGAUUUCAGAUAGUUAACAGAGGAGAUUAGAUGUUAUUGCAGCUGUUGAAGUUUGCCGCUUCUGGUGAUUUCGCACUUGCGGUUUAAGGACCACAAAUGCGGCACUGCAUAUGUGAUGGAAUGGAUGAAGAAGCAGAUUAUGAGGAUUUGUCUAGGACAACAAAAGCGGUCAGUAUGGUCGUAUCUGCGACGCAAAUGUAGAUAGCGUAUCAUAGAUGCGACUUUUGGGAUGUUAGUGAUUUUUGCAAAUUAGAGGAUUUAACCGCAAAUACGGUAUUGCGGAUGCAGUUGAAGCACCGCUGAGGCGAAAAGAACCAGGCGGAAGAAUUAAAAACAGUCCUUCACGAAUAUUGGAUUAGUUCACAAUUUUUAGACUUCGACUUGGAGCUUUUGAGGCAAUCUGAAAGAGCGAUUUUAAGGGAACUUCAUUGAGGUAAGGAACUUUGACUCGAAAUGCAUUCCUAUGCAUUAUUUCAUGUAUUAGAGCUAAAAAUUAAGGAAACUAAGGGUGAAAUUUGGGGUAACUUCGACUUAGAAUUGGACACUUAUGAUUGAGGGUUUGAUGGACCAUUUGAGGACAAAUUUGAGAACUUUUUAUAUGUAUGAAAUCGUGGGGAGAUGAGAAAUCUAUUGAUGUAAAAUUUAUGAAUUUUGAUUGUUUUCACUUGGGCUUUUUUCCCUUAGCAUAUUUUGAUGUCCUUGUUCUAAUUUUUGAUAGAUUCGACACCCGCGGAGGCCGAUUCAAGGGGGAUAGGCAUCAUGAGCUAGAGAUUUAGUUGGUUUAAGAUGAGUAAUAAUUGUAAAUGAUGUUCUGAGGGUUUGAAACCCCAGAGUGCACAUCAUAGUGCUAUUUUGAGGUGAGGCACAUGCUUGAUGACGAGCUUGGGCUCGUGCACUAUUGGGGAUUGUGACUUGGUCCUUCCCGAUUGAUGAUUUUACCGUGCAUUUGGUUUAACACUAAUUGCUAUCAUCAUUAUUUGGGUUGAAUGCCAUAUGUGGGCCUAGUGUCAACUAUUUGAAUCCCUUCAGGGCUUUUUAUUUAUAUUUCCUCACUGUUUUGACGUAUUACUUGAACUAGGUCAUGUUAUUUUUUACUGUUUUCAUACUCAACCAUGUUUACUCAGUUUUAAGACUUAAAUGAUAUUUUAAAUGAUGUUUGGGAUGAGAAACACUAUUUAACUGUUGCCCGAGAAUUUUGUGAGUAUUUUUGACUAAAUAAGGCCGAUGGCCUAUGUUGUGAGGAAACAUUAAUACCGAUUUGAGGCAGAGGGCCUGAGAUAUGUAAAGUACAAUGUGGCUUGAUUGACAUGAGGCCGAAGGCCUAGGCUGGGGACGUGAGGCCGAGGGCCUAGUGUGUACCUAUUGUGAUGUGAGAUUGAGCCCCAGGGGCUGAUACUAUUUUGAGAUAUUGCUCGAUGGGCGAAUUUGUGGAUACUGUACCCGAGGAUUUAAUUUUUAUUUGUUUGCUUUACCCUAGCUACAUGUCAAUAACUUGUUUACUUGUUGAAAGAGUAUUUUACUUGACUUUUCACUGGUUUACUGUUUUCAAAUGAUUUUAGUUCUUCAUUAUAGAAUGCCUUGUGUAUUAUGUGUUUUCUUACUUUCAGUAAUUUUUUACACUUGUUACUCACUGAGUUGGAGUACUCAAUUUACUCCCUGCACCCUAUGUGCACAUGUAGGCAUAGCUAGUUCUGCUCCCAAGGGCUGAUUCCUCCAACUUCAAGCGAGCUUCCAGAGAUUACGUGGUAGCCUGUUCUGAAUGCUUAACUGCUAAUAAUUGGAAAAUGUGAGGUGUUGGCUAACCUUAUCUUUACGAGAGGUGCUAUCACGACGAGGUCAGAUUUAGGGUCGUGGUAAGUUGGUAUUAGAGGCUAGGUUACAUAGGUCUCACGAGUUAUGAGCAGGUUUAGUAGAGUUUUGUAGAUCGGGAAGGAGAUGCCUGGAUUUAUCCUCGAGAGGCUGCAGAACCUUUUGGAAAAAAUUAAUAUGUUGUCGUGCGAACUUGUUCAUCUGAGUACUAAACUUUUUUUAUUCUAUCUUCUCACAGAUGGUGAGGACAUGCGCUACUGGACAAGGUGGAUGACCAUCAGUGCCACCGGCUAUGGCCACCAGGGGCCGAUGACAUGGUCGUAGUCAUGGUAGAGGCAGAACAGCGAGGGCAUCACUUACAGAUCCACCUGUUACCCCAGCUCAGGAUUAAGCUCCAGCUAUGGAAAAUAUAGCAGCACUAGUUCAAGCAUCAACUGUGCCCACCCUGAUUCCGCGUAUUCAGGAGGCCUUGGCUUAGAUCCUAUCGGUUUGCACUGGCCUGGCUCAGACAGUUUCUGCUACUACAGCUGCAGCUAGUUCUCAGGCCGAGGGAGGCAUUCAGACUCCUGUCACUCGCACACCUGAAUAGGUCGUGUAGGGGCUUCAAAUUUUGGUGGCACAUCCACCAUAGUCGGUUAUAGCUGCUUAAGGCUAUGUUGUUCCUGUCAUGCCGGAGGAUUAACAGCAUAUGUUGGAGAGAUUUGGUAGAAUGCAGGCUCCGACCUUUAGUGGUGCAGAUGGUGAGGAUGCCCAUGGCUUUUUCGAUAAGUGUGAGAGGAUUCUUUGUACUGCAGGUAUUCUGGAGACCAGCGGGAUCGCUUUUACUACCAAUCAGCUUUCAGGAGCUACUUUCAUUUUGUGGGAGGAUUUUGAGAGGAGUAAGCAUGUCGCUAUAGCACCCUUUUCCUAGCAGCAGUUCUCCAUUCUCUUGUUUGAAAAGUAUGUGCCGCAGUCUCACAGAGAGGAGCUACAUAAGCAGUAGAAAUGGUUGCGUCAGGGGGAUAUGACUGUGGCGUAGUAUGAGUUGAGGUUUUAUGUGUUGGCUCGUCAUGCCAUCUAGUUGGUUCCAAUAGAUCGAGAGAGGAUCAAGAGGUUAGUUGAUGCUCUUACUUACCAGCUCCAUAUUCUUAUGACAUGGGAGAGGGUAUCUGGUUCUACUUUCAUGGAGGUAUUUGAUUUAUCCUGUGAGAUUGAGUUUGUUCAUCGUCAGAAGUGAGAGAAGGGGGAGGCCAAGAGGCCUUGAGGAUCUAGUAGCUAUAGUGGUACUCCUUCGAGGGAUCAGUUUCAGCACGAUAGAGGUCGUCCAUUUAGGUCUACGCAACCAGCUCGCCUAGGUUAUCGUAGGGAAUCUUUGGGUCAUUGUUUUAGUCGGGAUAGUCAUCACUCAGUGCUCUUCAAGCUCAGAGUUUGACCCGUGCUCCAUCAGUUCAAGGCUCUUCCAUAGCGAGUGCAUCUGCUAGUCACUCUAGUAUGAGGGGUUUCCUUCAUUUCCCUUCUCCAUCACCUGGGAAACGUUAUGAAUGUGAUGAGAUGGGUCACAUAUGGAGGCAGUGUCCUCAUCGUUUGCCAGUUCAACUGAGCAGUGAUGUUAGUUAUCAGCAUUAGUGCCAGUUUCAUCACCACCGCCCGCACAGUCAUCUCGGGGUGGGGGUCAGUAAGCUAGGCGUCGCCCCAGAGGAGAAGGUCAAUCAGGGGAUGGUCAGGCCUAUUUCUAUGCACUCCCAGGCAGAACCGAUGUUAUUGGUUCAGAUGCUGUUAUUACAUGUGUUAUUCAGUCUGCCAUAGAGAUGCCUCUGUAUUAUUUGAUCCCGAUUCCACCUUUUUAUUAUGUGUCAUCAUAUUUAUCUCAUUAUUUGGAUAUGCACCAAGAGUUUUUUGCUUUACCUGUUCAUGUAUAUACCCCGGUUUGUGAUAUUGUUGUCGUAGACCAUGUGUACCGGUCGUGUGUGGUGACUUUAAGGGAUUUUGAGACCAGAGUGGAUCUAUUACUAUCGAGCAUGGUGGAUUUAAAUGAAAUUUUGGGCAUGGAUUGGUCAUCUCAGUGCCGUGCUAAUCUGGACUAUCAUGCUAAGACAGUCAUAUUGGCUAUGAUGGGUGUGCCACGGAUCGAGUGGCGAGGUGUGACUAAUUAUUUCCCUAGUAGAGAGAUCUCUUUCUUGAAGGCCCGGUGUAUGGUUGUGAAUGGUUUUCUUUCAUAUCUAGCAUUUGUGAGGGAAGUUGGAGCUGAGACUCCCAGUAUUGAUUUUGUUCCAGUUGUGAGGGAUUUACUGAUGUGUUUCCUGCAGACCUACCGGGCAUUCCACUAGAUAGGGAUAUUGAUUUUGGCAUUGACACGGUGUCCGGCACUCAGCCUAUUUCUAUUCUGCCAUUUCGUAUGGCACUAGCGGGUUUGAAGGAGUUAAAGGACAAGCUUAUGGAACUCCUAAAUAAGGGGUUCAUGCGGCCUAGUGUGUCACAUUGGGGUGCGCUGGUUCUAUUAUUGAAGAAGAAGAUGUCAAAAUGAGAAUGUACAUUGAUUUGAUGCAAUUGAACAAGGUAACAAUUAAGAACAAGUAUCAUUUGUCUCACAUUGAUGAUUUACUCGACCAGCUUCAAGGAGCGAAGGGGUUCUCCAAGAUUGAUCUCCUUUCAGGUUAUCACCAAUUGAAGAUCACGUAUUUUGGAUACUCUGAAGAUGGCCUUCAGGACCCGAUAUAGUCAUUAUGAGUUCUUGGUGAAGUUCUUUGGGCUGACCAAUGCCCUAGUAGCAUUCAUGCAUUUGAUGAACAACCUGUUCCGGCCUUAUUUCGAUUCAUUUGUCAUAGUCUUAAUUGAUGAUAUUCUGAUGUAUUCGCGUACUCAGGAGGAGAACACAGAGCAUUUGAGAGUUGUGUUGCAGAGAUUGAGGGAGGAGAAGCUUUUUGCAAUAUUCUCCAAGUGUGUGUUUUGGUUCAGUUGAGUGGAUUUCUUGGGGCACGUGCUAUACAGCGAGGGUAUUCAGGUUGUUCCGAAGAAGAUAGAGGUGGUUCAGAGUUGGCCCAGACCGUCCUUAGACACAGCGAUUCGGGGCUUUUUCGGUUUGGCAAGCUAUUAUCACAGGUUUUUUUAGGGAUUCUCAUCUAUCGCAUAGCCCUUUAUCAAGUUGACUCAAAAAGGUGCUUCAUAUGUAUGGUCAGACGAGUGUGAGGAGAGCUUUCAGAUGCUGAAGACAACUUUGACCACAACUCCAUUAUUGGGUUUGCCAUCAGCUUUCGAGAGUUGGGAUUGGUUGUGUGUUGAUGCAGGAGGGUGGAGUUAUUUCUUAUGCUUAUCGUCAGUUGAAGCCCCAUGAGAAGAACUACACCGUUCAAGAUUAUGACUUGGCUUCCAUAGUUCACGAAUUGAAGAUUUGGAUGCAUUACUUGUAUGGUGUAUCUUGUGAGGUGUUCACUGAUCAUCGCAGUCUUCAGCAUUUGUUCAAGCAAAAGAAUCUUUAUUUGAGACAGCGGAGAUGGUUGGAGUUACUUAAGGAUUAUGAUAUCACUAUAUUGUACCAUCCGGCAGAGGCCAAUGUGGAUGCCGAUGCUUUGACCCGAAAGGCAGUGAGUAUGGGGAGUUUAGCAUGUAUUCCAAUUGGGAGAUACCUCUUGAAGUUUAUGUUCAUGCCUUGGCCAAUUGGUUCGUGAGAUUGGACAAUUCGGAGCUUAUCUUUUGUGGUUUUUCUGUCUUUCUUGUAUGAUCGCAUCAGAGAGUGCCAAUAUGAUGAUCUGCAUUUUCUUGUCCUUAUGGACAAAGUUCAGUAUGAUGAUGCCAGCGAUGUGACCAUUGGUGAUGAUGGGGUGUUAGGAUGCAUGGCUGGAUUUGUAUGCCCAAUAUGGAUUGGCUUCGGGAGUUGAUUCUGGAGGAGGUCCAUAGCUCACAAUAUUCCAUUUACCCAGAUGCUGCAAAGAUGUAAUUGGAGUUGAGGCAGCACGAUCGGUGGAGAAGGAUGAAGAAAGAUAUUAUGGGAUUUGUAGCUCCGUGUCUCAAUUUUCAGCAGGUAAAAUAUGAGCAUUAGAGACCGGGUGGUUUGCUACAGCAGAUGGAGAUUCGUGAGUGGAAGUGGGAGAGGAUCACUAUGGACUUUGUUGUUGGACUUCCAAGGGCUUUGAAGAAGUUCGAUACUAUUUGGGUGAUUGUGGAUCGGCUGACCAAGUCCGCGCACUUCAAUCCUGUCUGUACCACCUAUUCUUCAGAGCGGUUGGGCAGUGAUAUAUAUAUGAGAGAUUCUUUGCUUGCAUAGUGUUCCGGUUUCCAUCAUUUCAGAUUGAGGUACUAAGUUUACUUCACAAUUUUGGAGGUCCGUACAAAGAGAAUUAGGUACUUAGUGGAGUUGAGCAUAGUUUUUCAUCGGAUGAGUUCCUACCGCUUGCAGAGUUUGCUUAUAAUACUAGCUACCAGUCGAAUAUUCAAAAGGCUCUAUAUGAGGCUUUGUAUGGGAGGCGGUGUAGAUCUCUAAUUGGUUGUGUCACACCUCCUUUUUCCUACACCCUGUAAGGUAAUAAGGGAGUUCGUCCAAUUAAAGUGACAAUCCAAACGGGAUUAUUCAAUUAAAAAGAUUCAGAGUUGCCACUUUGGAUAAUUUAUGGUGUGCCAAGUCAUCAGUUCAAAUCCAAAAUCGAGGAAAAGAUUAACUCUAUUUUACAGUCAGAGAACACAAAUAUCUAGGUAAGGAAUUUUGUUAAUCCAUAGAAGGUGUAAGGCAUUCCCGAGCUCCGUGGUUCUAGCACGAUCGCUCAAGUAUUAUUAUUGGCCUCAUUAUCUGAUUUUAAAGCAUUUUUGAACCUAUGUGAAUUUUUCUUUGAAGCCGCUUUUAUUUAUUGAGGAUUUAGCAUCGACUAAAACAUGUCCUUUGAUCGCGCCACAUGAAAUGCACCCGCAAUCCGAAAAAUAUUUUAUUCAACGUUAUUAAGAUUUGGAUUUGGGCCACAUGAAAUGCACACAUGAGUUUAGGAAGGUAAUAUUAUUAAAAUAACAUACCUAAAGAAACUAUGCGUUUUAACUUUGCGAGGGCCAUAAAAAAUUUGCUAAACGACACACCUCGAAUUUUAAGGAUUUUAAAAGAAAUAAUUAAAUGAGGGCCACGCAUUUGAGAUUUUAUUUAGCGCGGCGCACCUCAAUUUCGAUUUUUAAAAGGGAAUUCAAACUACACUUUGGAGGGCCAUAAACUAUUUAUUAUCUAGUAUGGUUCACCCCCACUAAUUAUAGAAACUCAACUACCUAAAUAUUAAUGGGUAAGUAUUUCAAGCUAAGAGAAUACAUUUUAAUUAAGAAAGGAGCUAAAUGGUUCAAAGUUAAAAUUUGGGCCCACCACGAUGCCCAAUAGCCUAUAGAUGCAGUGCCCUUUUGAAUUACAAAUUAUCAUUAAUCCAAGCUAAGGUCCACGAGGGAACCCAAAUUGAACCAAGAUCGGAUUCAGCAAGAAAUCGGGUCCAUGGUUUGAUCCCACAAAUCAACACAAGGGGUCAGUUUUUGCAUUCAAUUCUACAACCCACGUUACUUUUCCUUAGGGGAUUAAACAAUUUCUAAUUUUACACACUUAUAGACACCUUCCAUGCGAAUACUAUAAUCAAACAUCAAUGCAUGUCUAAAUUAAACAGCAAUCCGAGAGUCAUUCUUGAGACUAACACAUAAUUGUUCAAGUGACAUGCUCACAUCAAUCGAUUCACCAUGAUGCAAAAAUCCAAUAGUGUCUUAUGACCGUUCAUAAUUAGAAUCUUAACUUAGAAUUAACAAUGAACCUUCAAAUCUAAAGGAAGAAGAAUGAUACACAUUUGAAGGUUGAUGAGCUAAUUUAGAUGCGUAAGUAUUGUCAGUACUUUUACUUAGCCAAGCAAAGAAAUUAGAGCUAAUUCCAAACCCUUAACAUAACAAAUGCACUUAGAUUCCAUUUGAUAAGAGAUCUACAUAAUAAUCUAUAACAUGAUUCCACAGACUAAAUGAAGUGAAAAUCAAAACUAGCUUAGCUUCAAACUUUUAUCAUAGCUAUUCAUAUACGACCAAUUCACUUUUUAGGAAAUAACAUAGAUCAAAGCCCCAAUUGAAUUUAAUCAACAAGUUAACCAAUCCAAACUCUGCAUGCUUUUUCGUAGUUCAGAAUUUAAUAUUCACACUUUCAAAGGAUACUAGUUCAUCUAGAAAACUAAACUCUAUAUUUAUUACAGAUAUAAAUGAGAAAAAAUAGAAGGAGAAAAACUUAAAUCAACUUCAUAUUCAUUCAAAAUUCCAUUGGAACAUGAAACUCUACAACCACUGGCUCUCCAUAGUUUAUAGGUUUACUUGGAGAUUGAAAGGGAAUAUAGAAAUGAGUAAUCAGUGGUUGAGCACCAAUAUGCAACAGAAAUAACCAAGAAAAUUAGCUCCAAACCCCAAAUGGUAUGCAGUAAUCCCAAAGAAAAAGGUUCUGUAGAACCAGAACCCAGCCAACUUGGAACCAAACUUUAAUACCAAACUUUAAACCAAAUCCAAAUCAUUUUAAAAUCCUACAAGGAAGAACUACUAUUUUUCAAACUUUGAAAAGAAUAAAAAUUUUACAGGAAUUCAAUGUAACACUAGAACUUGUUUGCCCUUUGUAUUUUCUUAAAACUAAUCUCUAAAAUCUCUUUCUGAAUAGCAAGGAACUGAUGUCUUCAUAGGCAAGAAAAUAGGGCAGCCCUAAGGAAAUAGUUUUUGCAACUAUGCCCUUUUCCAAUUUUUUUUUUCUUAGCUAGCAUUAAUUAGUUUCCAAAGUUUCAAAAUAAUCUCAAAGUCAGCUUCCAAGAAGCUUCCAUUUCAGUUGCACCCUAGAUUCCUUAAACCAAUUUCCUAAAUUGCCCACCCAAUUCCCUGAUUUUACUCUCAUAAUCACCCGAGUCAACUAACCAACAAAUGGGUAUGCAUACCAAAUUAAAACCCCAACCAUACCCCUUUUGGGGCUUUCGACUUUCAGAAGCCCAAUUAGGAUCAAACUAGGAAUCCUUUAUUUUAAGAACUAAUCCAAAGUUUCCGAAAGAAAAGCCCCCAAAAAUCUUUUUAAAAUGUAAUCAAAAAAUGAUGAAGGCACAUGAAUCUAUUAUCUUAAGAUAAUAGCAAAAUUUAACUAAAUUAGACCUAUUUACAUUAACUAAGUGAAAAUUACGAAAAAGAACUUGAUCAUGAUUAACGAACUACAAAAAUAAAUAGAAAUCGAUUUCAUAAUGUAUAAAGGAGAAAGGAGAAAGGAGAAAAGGAAAACAAAAUAAAUGGUGAACAGGAGGGAAAUUUGAACUUAGAGGCGAAUUAGAUUAUUAUGAAAACUCAGUUAAAGAAAAGGAGAGAGGAGGAUAGUGGGAGAAAGAAAACAUAAAAGGGACAGGAAUUUACCAGAUCGGACCUUGAAACCAAACUGAAGCAAAACUUAACCAAACUUAUGUCGAAUCUGUUGUUCUUUGUCAAGAACAACUAAAUCGACAUCACAUUCAUCGAGUCAGACCCUCAAACUUUGAAAGAAAAGCGAUGCAUGCUACCAGGUUCGACGGAAGAUGAUUUUGAAUUUUUGGGUUGAACUCAGAUUUAAGAUUCAACGGGUUCAACGUUAAUUCGUGGGGUAUAGGUCAUGGAUUUGGAUAAAGGAGAUCAUGGUGAGCCUGUUGUGUGAUUUUUGUAGGGGAUGUAAUGGUUUGGGGCUGGGCCGCCGCCAGGAAGGCUGACGGAUUUGCGGGCGAGUAGAUUAAGUCUCUGGAAUUUACUUUUGGAGAAGAUGAGAGACGAUGGGGG
rnacentral:lncRNA from 1 species